rnacentral:rRNA from 1 species
AGAGUUUGAUCAUGGCUCAGAGCGAACGCUGGCGGCGUACUUAACACAUGCAAGUCGAACGGGGAUCGUCGGUGUAGCAAUACAUCGGCGGUUCUAGUGGCGCACGGGUGAGUAACACGUGGGUAACCUGUCCUUGAGUUCGGGAUACCCUCUCGAAAGGGAGGCUAAUACCGGAUACGUUCCCCGGAUUGCGAAAUUUGGGGAGGAAAGGUGGCGCAAGCUGCCGCUCUUGGAGGGGCUCGCGGCCUAUCAGCUAGUUGGUGAGGUAAUGGCUCACCAAGGCUAUGACGGGUAGCUGGUCUGAGAGGACGACCAGCCACACGGGAACUGAGACACGGUCCCGACUCCUACGGGAGGCAGCAGUGGGGAAUUUUCCGCAAUGGGCGAAAGCCUGACGGAGUGACGCCGCGUGGGGGACGAAGGCCUUCGGGUUGUAAACCCCUGUCAGAGGGAAAGAAGGGUGUCGGCGCGAUAACCGCCGGCACUUGACGGUACCUUCAGAGGAAGCCCCGGCCAACUCUGUGCCAGCAGCCGCGGUA